AUGGCCCGUUGCAUUUGGAUGAAAGGCUCCAGCUAUGGUUACGACUUGACAAAUCUGCAACAUCUGCACCUUCAUUCAUGCCCAAGCCUCGAGUACGCGCUUCCAGUAUGCACAGUCGACAACUCUUUCCCCAGCUUGAAGACCCUCUACAUCAUCCGCUGCGGCGACCUCAUGCACGUAUUUAUGCAAAGCAACCAGGAGGAUCCUCCAAGCAGCGUCAAGUUCCCAAAGCUGACCACGAUCCACCUGUACGACCUGCCGUCGCUGCAGCAGAUAUGCGAGGACGCCGAGACACUGGCGCCCGCACUGGAGAACACCAGGAUCAGGGGAUGCUGGAGCUUGCGUCGGCUGCCAGCCUUGAAGGGCCGCGAGCCGGACACGAGGAGGCCCACAGUGGAGAUAGAGAAGGACGUGUGGGACGCUCUGGAGUGGGGCGGGGUGGAAUCGGGGCACCACCCUUCCCUCUACGAGGCGCCCGUGCAGUCGCGGUACUACAAGAGGUCCAUGCCCAGGGGCACAGUUCUCAGGUAUACUUUCUAA
rnacentral:rRNA from 1 species